GGCAUGGGAGGCGGUUGUGGCGUGGGAUCUAGGGUGUCUGCAGCGGGCUCGGCGGCCGUGUGAGGCGCUCGGCCCGCCGGACCCCGCGUGAAGCGGGUCGGUGUGGAAGCCGAGCGCCGUUUGGAUGUAGAUCUUCGCCGCAGGCCCAGAGCUGGGCGGGAAUAAAGCGAAGACCCAGGUCACACGGGUGUCCUUGAUGAUUUGGAAAUUUGAUCUACAGAAGCACAGUGAUUUAAAUUUUCUAGGGGCCGUGUCAAAACUCCAUAGAUGAAUGCUCAUUUGUAACAAGGCUAUGAAUAAAU
ensembl:lincRNA Epb41l4aos erythrocyte membrane protein band 4.1 like 4a, opposite strand